GGAGAGGUGCCAGAGAGGCCUAUUGGAGUUGCCUGCUAAGCAAUUGACCUGGGUAACCGGGUCCCAGGGUUCGAAUCCCUGCCUCUCCG
rfam:Omnitrophica WOR_2 bacterium GWF2_43_52 gwf2_scaffold_2425, whole genome shotgun sequence.